rnacentral:rRNA from 1 species
AUUGAACGCUGGCGGCAGGCCUAACACAUGCAAGUCGAGCGGAGCGGCGGACGGGUGAGUAAUGCCUAGGAAUCUGCCUGGUAGUGGGAGAUAACGUCCGCUACCGGGCGCUGAUACCGCUUCCUUUCAGUAUAGCAUGGGUCGGAUUAGCUAGUUGGUGGGGGAAAGGCCUACCAAGGCUACGAUCCGUAACUGGUCUGAGAGGAUGAUCAGUCACACUGGGACUGAGACACGGUCCAGACUCCUACGGGAGUCAGCAGUGGGGAAUAUUGUACAAUGGGCGAAAGCCUGAUCCAGCCAUGCCGCGUGUGUGAAGAAGGUCUUCGGAUUGUAAAGUACUUUAAGCUGGGAGGCGUUACCAACAGAAUAAGCACCGGCUAACUUCGUGCCAGCAGCCGCGGUAAUAC